GACGAACGCUGGCGGCGUGCUUAACACAUGCAAGUCGAACGGAAAGGCCCUGCUUUUGUGGGGUGCUCGAGUGGCGAACGGGUGAGUCACACGUGAGUAACCUGCCCUUGACUUUGGGAUAACUUCAGGAAACUGGGGCUAAUACCGGAUAGGAGCUCCUGCUGCAUGGUGGGGGUUGGAAAGUUUCGGCGGUUGGGGAUGGACUCGCGGCUUAUCAGCUUGUUGGUGGGGUAGUGGCUUACCAAGGCUUUGACGGGUAGCCGGCCUGAGAGGGUGACCGGCCACAUUGGGACUGAGAUACGGCCCAGACUCCUACGGGAGGCAGCAGUGGGGAAUAUUGCACAAUGGGCGGAAGCCUGAUGCAGCAACGCCGCGUGCGGGAUGACGGCCUUCGGGUUGUAAACCGCUUUCGCCUGUGACGAAGCGUGAGUGACGGUAAUGGGUAAAGAAGCACCGGCUAACUACGUGCCAGCAGCCGCGGUGAUACGUGGGGUGCGAGCGUUGUCCGGAUUUAUUGGGCGUAAAGGGCUCGUAGGUGGUUGAUCGCGUCGGAAGUGUAAUCUUGGGGCUUAACCCUGAGCGUGCUUUCGAUACGGGUUGACUUGAGGAAGGUAGGGGAGAAUGGAAUUCCUGGUGGAGCGGUGGAAUGCGCAGAUAUCAGGAGGAACACCAGUGGCGAAGGCGGUUCUCUGGGCCUUUCCUGACGCUGAGGAGCGAAAGCGUGGGGAGCGAACAGGCUUAGAUACCCUGGUAGUCCACGCUGUAAACGGUGGGUACUAGGUGUGGGGUCCAUUCCACGGGUUCCGUGCCGUAGCUAACGCUUUAAGUACCCCGCCUGGGGAGUACGGCCGCAAGGCUAAAACUCAAAGGAAUUGACGGGGCCCCGCACAAGCGGCGGAGCAUGCGGAUUAAUUCGAUGCAACGCGUAGAACCUUACCUGGGUUUGACAUGGAUCGGGAGCGCUCAGAGAUGGGUGUGCCUCUUUUGGGGUCGGUUCACAGGUGGUGCAUGGCUGUCGUCAGCUCGUGUCGUGAGAUGUUGGGUUAAGUCCCGCAACGAGCGCAACCCUUGUUCACUGUUGCCAGCACGUUAUGGUGGGGACUCAGUGGAGACCGCCGGGGUCAACUCGGAGGAAGGUGGGGAUGACGUCAAGUCAUCAUGCCCCUUAUGUCCAGGGCUUCACGCAUGCUACAAUGGCUGGUACAGAGAGUGGCGAGCCUGUGAGGGUGAGCGAAUCUCGGAAAGCCGGUCUCAGUUCGGAUUGGGGUCUGCAACUCGACCUCAUGAAGUCGGAGCCGCUAGUAAUCGCAGAUCAGCAACGCUGCGGUGAAUACGUUCCCGGG
rnacentral:rRNA from 1 species